rnacentral:lncRNA from 1 species
GUUGGGGCGGGCCGGGGCGGCGGUACCGCCACUGUGGGGUCCGGGACGGGCCGCGGGCUCGGUGGUGGCGAGUUGUGGCGGAGCCCCGCGGCCGCCGGCGGCCUCGGCUGGUGCCUCUGGUGUUCGCCGCGUUUUGGUUUCCCCACGCAGGCGCAUGGGUGUCGGCCUCAAAGCCCCUGUAAAAGUUGGAGUGUGCCAUUUUGAAUGCGCCCUUACAAGUUUUACUUACUCUCCCGCGUAUUUAAGAUCUCAGCUACCCUCUAAUUACGCAGAACUAUUCAUGGUAUCUUCUGAAGCCAGGAUGGGAAAGGAGUCCAAUCAGGAGUCCAGCCAGAACUCUGAAGUUGAUCUUCAUAUCCGCUGCUUAGAUUUUGCUCAGCUUCAACACACUAAUUAGCAUCAUUGUUGUCCUCCUCCAUCUCUUACUCGUCCUCAUCCUCUUCCCUGGCAAUCCAAUGAGAUUCAAUGCUAAAGAUCUGGCUUUGCUGGCCAGGCGACCAGCAGGUUGUUUUGACAAGGAAGGAAAACUGAAGAUUUGCAGACUGGUUGGAGAUGAAAAGUUAAUAGAACCGAGAGAGAGAUGGUGCCGACUGAAAGGAAAUCUGCUUUUUCUAAUGAAAAAUAAGACUUCUGAAGCCUCUGAAGUGGUAAUCCUGGAGUGGUGCUGCAUUGUGGAGUUCAGGAGUAAAACAGAUGUUUCAAUAGUCCUCACAUAUGGUGGUUAGCUGUGAUGGUGCUUUGUAUUUUGGAGUGACGGUGCCUCAUUGAUAUUCCCAACCAUUUUCCACUGCUGAGGUAGCGAUUCGGAAUUACUGUUUGCUAGUAAACAUGAAAAGGGAGAGAACCUUUAACUGCUUUGAACUGUCUUACUUCAUAUAUUGGCACGGGGGGGAAAAGUGAUCCUCUAGGAAAGGGUUGGUUGUCACUUGAAAUCAUGGAUAUUAAGCACGUGCUUUGUACAUUUUUUUUAUUUAAAUGCUGUCAAUGAUUUUCUUUUUUUUGUGAUGUUCAGUAUGAUUUUAUGCUUAUAACUCUCAUUAAUGAAAAUAAAGCAAACCAAAUGCCUGACA